rnacentral:ncRNA from 2 species
AUGAAGGACGCGGAAGAGUAUCCCCACCGGGAUCGCCGACGAAGCAAAUUACGGGUAGCCAACCCGUUGAUGAAUCUUUCAGGCUCCAACACCGUGUCUCGACA